rnacentral:rRNA from 1 species
AAGGAAUUGGAUAAGUGUUAGGGGGGGUUUCCGCCCCUUAGUGCUGCAGCUAACGCAUUAAGCACUCCGCCUGGGCGAGUACGGUCGCAAGACUGAAACUCAAAGGAAUUGACGGGGGCCCGCACAACGGUGGAGCAUGUGGUUUAAUUCGAAGCAACGCGAAGAACCUUACCAGGUCUUGACAUCCUCUGACAAUCCUAAAGAUAGGACGUCCCCUUCGGGGGCAAAGUGACAGGUGGUGCAUGGUUGUCGUCGCUCGUGUCGUGAGAUGUUGGGUUAAGUCCCGCAACGAGCGCAACCCUUGAUCUUAGUUGCCAGCAUUCAGUUGGGCACUCUAAGGUGACUGCCGGUGACAAACCGGAGGAAGGUGGGGAUGACGUCAAUCAUCAUGCCCCUUAUGACCUGGGCUACACACGUGCUACAAUGGGCAGAACAAAGGGCAGCGAAACCGCGAGGUUAAGCCAAUCCCACAAAUCUGUUCUCAGUUCGGAUCGCAGUCUGCAACUCGCUGCGUGAAGCUGGAAUCGCUAGUAAUCGCGGAUCAGCAUGCCGCGGUGAAUACGUUCCCGGGCCUUGUACACACCGGCCGUCACACCACGAGAGUUUGUAACACCCGAAGUCGGUGAGGUAACCUUUAAGGAGCCCGCCGCCAAGGUGGGAACAGAUGAUUGGGGGGGAGUCAUAAAAGGAAACCGAAAAGCACUGACAAGAAAGAAGGAAAAGAAAAUUUAA